UUCGAGCAGAGUAACGCCAGAGAGAGUGUUCCGACCGUUACUUAUAUUUGCUGUUGACCAAUUUCGUUUUUUUUUCUUCACUGAUCGACACUAACAUAACUAGUGAACACGGGCAGACUCCUACAGGCGAAUCAUUCUUUAUUGGAGCGAAAGAACGCGCAAUUCUCCGACCCGCUGGUGUGCUGGAAAGAGUGUAAAACGAGAGGCACUAGCGGCGUUGUGAUAUAGGUGUACCUGGAGUCUGCAUGGCGUUUGCAUUUUGGGUUCAACGGGGUGAAUGCUCUAACCACCAGAAUAUUGGCAUCAUCACGUGAGCACCAUAAUGGCCAACAUAUUGAUGCUCUUCAAAGAGUACAAAAGAAGACAGACCUCAAACUGCAGCAGUAGAAG